AAUAAAACAAUAUUUUCUAGAAUUAUGAGAAAAGUGGUCCAGGUAGAAACCACGCCUAACUGCUUGACAAAGUGGUCCAAGAUAGGACCGAUUGCUUCACCACCGCUUAAAUGUUUAACAAGUGUAGUUAAACCAACCGGUCAACACUCGUGUUUAUUUCAGUUACCGUGCGGACGUUAUUUGUGACUAGCCCCGGUCCCUUUCAAAUUGUAUCAUUAUUUAUGUACGGUCUUUAUAUUUGAAAUGACGUUGCACAUUCAUCUAGCGAUGGCCGAUUUUCAUUCGAAUAAUCGAUUAAUCGAUUAACGACCCGAAAAGUAAAAUAUUUGUAAUCGGUUAUAUCAUUCCGAUAUAAGCAUUCACUUCUUCAGUGGAUCAUCACCGAUCGUUUCAAACAUGUGCUGCACUCUCAUUGGUGGAAAAAUGACAGCACAACAAACAAAAAUUAUCGAUUAGUUGUUAAUCGAGUAGUUAAAAAAUGGGACAUCUCUGGUUUUGGUGUGAUUGUUUUGAUAAAAAAAAGUGCGCAAAAUUUCAUCUCUACCGAGGGGGCUGCAAAACCACAAAUUUACCUUGCAUACGGGGGGUAUUCAUUGGAUGAAAGGGACCGUGAAAGAGAACACUUAAAUAGAAAGUUUUUCUUCCGACAGUUUCAUCUUAGUAUUCUUCUUUGGUUAAACCUAGGAUAAGUCUUAAGAGGAGGCGAAGAAAUCGUGCCCAUAGUCGUAAAAUCUGACUCAAAUUUGAGAUCCAUUUACAAACAUUAAACAUAGACUAAGUUAAAAUCUGCUCGAAUCUGAGUAAAUGUCUUGCAUAUUUGACCAAAUUUUGCUCAAAGUGUAAUUUUGAGUGCAUUCACUCAAAUUCGAGCAGAUUUCUACUCAGUGUAUGAGCAACCGUUAUUUUAGGGAAUGUGGGUAAACGGAAUUCAAACUUGAGUCAGAUUCUACGACCGGGCAUGCUUUCGUCAGUUAACGAAGCAUAUCACAAUAAUCCAUUCGAAUGAAGUUCCUUUGAUAUUUAUUCGUUGCUGCUCAUAGGUAUAUCAGUUUACGAAGAUUUGUCGCUCUCUUUUCUCACCCGUAAAUUUCGACAGUUUUGGGUGGUUUGUUUUCCUUCCUGCAUAUUCGAUUGCCGUCAAUGGAUGGCAAUCGAUGUCCGUCGGUGAUUGGCACUAGAUUGCGGAACAGAGACCGACGUUAAAUAAAGGAAAAAAGAAAAAAAGGGUGCUUUGUUUUGGCUCCCAUUAUUUGCCAUCUCUUUUAUUCUGAUGUAAAAUGAUAGGGAUCAACGAGAGACGUUAGGCACUGUAUACCGAAGUUAAAAUGACUUUUACUACCACGCUAACUUUGAAAUAAAGCAAUAUUUUUAAAUCUUUCUUUUAGAACCACGAGAAAAGUAGCCAAAAUUUGUGACUUUCUUUAAAAAAAAACAGCAUUUUGUUGGUCCAGUUUUGUGAAAUCGCUGGUAGAAUGCCAAAACUGUUUGGCAAAGUGGUCCAUUGGAUUUGAUAAUUAGCAGCACUGUCUCAGCGUAAAUAUGAAAACUCUCAAUGAACAUCGAUGUCACACGGUCGUAGAAUCUGACUCAAGUUUGAAUUCCGUAGAUCCCUUCCACUUUUCGUGAGCGACAAAAAAGCUUUGUAUGAUUUAGUGAAGUCGUUAAGUUGGUUGUGCAUCGAGUAGAUGUAUCCACUGGUGGUCGAAUUUUACUCAGUUUAUGAGUGACCGUGAUUCUAGCGAAGUGAGUAAACGGAAUUGAAGUCAUUUCAUGAAAACUAGCAACUUUUCCUGAAUCCAUGGGACACCUUGUUAGCGCCGCUCGGUGUCACUUUGUAUGGGAGCGAACUGUCAGUUUUUUAGUUUAGUGUCGAACAGUGAAGUUAUUAUUUUGCUCUAAAUCUUGAUUUAAAAAUCAAGAUGAAAGUGUGUGGGUUCAAAAAGAAAAUAUCGCUGUACUCAGAAAAAGAAGCUCUUUCAGAUGAUGUAUAAAAAACAAUACAUUUUUCAAAAUUAAAGAACCAAAUUUAAUAUUUUUACCAUUUUUCAAGGCGAAAAUUCUAACUUUUGGACUAAGAAUGGAUAAUUUGUUUUCUAAGAGAAGCUGGAAGAAAUUUCUGGGGAAUGUUUGAAGUAGCUUCUGAAGGAAGCCGAAAAACUUACAGAGAGAGAAUAAAGAAGCUCUUUUGAAGGAAGUUUGAAGGAAGUUCUAAGAAAUGUCGGAGAAGCAUUUAGUGUACUCUCAAAACAAAUAUUCAGAAACUUUUGACGAAAAUUUAAAGACGCUUUUGAAAAAAACGUAUGACGGAUCCAGAGGAAGCCAGAAAACAUUCGGAAAUCGGAAACAAAUUCUAGGCGUAGUCAUUUCCAGGGGAAGCCAGAAAAAGCUCAGAAAAACUUUCUAUUAGAACUUAUUGCGCAUUUUGCACCAAAUUAGACUCCUGUGCACAGUAAUAUUUGCGCACAGGCCAGAAAAUUUUAAAAUCGACUUAUUUGAAAGCAGUAACAGCUUCAGAACAUUACUAGCAAGCUACACUGUUGAAUUAAAGCUUUAAGAAGCUCCAUAUUUAACUUUUAUGACCAGUGCAAAAAUAUUACUGGUUACUUAUUUUUAGCGCAGGAGUCUAAUCAGGUGUGAAAUCCGCAAUAGAAGUCGAAAAAAACUAAUGAAACUUAUCGCUUAGGUAGGGUAGAGAAUACUUCGGUCUAAUCGCCCAUUUUGGGCCUAUCGAGCAGAAAACUUCUAUAGAUACAUUCGGUAGAAGUUUAAUUGAACCUCCUUGAGAAGACGGAUUCCUGAAGACGCUGGAAGAAACUUCGUAAGGUAGAUUGAAGGAAGUUUUUGGCGAAAGCCGAAAGCCAGAUGGCUUAGGGAACAGUCGAAAGAAACUUCAAGGAGAAUUUGGAAAAACAUGCUGGAAGAAAGAGAUUUCUUGGGGUUGUUCGUACAACAUUCUCUGAGGUUCCUGACAUGUUCUAAUGAUUCAGAAAUUGUCCUGAUAGUCAUAAAACAUACCUGAUGGCCCCAUAAACGUCCAUGAAGUUUUCGGAAUAUUCCUGAAAUACAUCUUUCUUGAAAGUUCCUACCAUUUUACUAGUUAUCUUCUGAUCAUCCUAUAAGUAGUCAGAACUUCCCUGAUUAUAAUGAAAUUACCGGAAAAUCUCUAAUCUUCUCAGAAGCCUUUCAUGAAGAUUUCGGAACUUCUGAAUGGCGUUGAAGUUCGCUGAUCACCCGAUUGUUUUUUAAAUUUGAAAAGUUCUUGAAACUGCCAUUAAACAUACGGACCUUCGUUUCGAAUGUUCUCAAACUUUUCAAAUGUUCAUUUUACUUCCCUAACGUUUCCAAAAUUUCAUAAACCUCUCGGAAUAAGGUUGCUGAAGUUUUCGAAUAUAUCCUGAGUUUCUCGGAAUUCCAUUCAAGCUUCAGUAAUUUAAUAUAAAUUAAUUGAUCUGUUCAAUUGAGACCCAUGCAGAAGGUUGAAUCACAAAAGGCUGAAAAUCGAAAAGGCCGAAAAUUUUCGAUUUGAGAAUACCUCAUAUUGAACUUCUUUAUGAACGAAGCCACCUUAUCGUGCUCGCACCGGUCCAUUUUGUCGCUUUCCCGAGUUUUUUCGGCCUUUUUUGAUUCGACCUUUCGUAGUACUCCCGUUCAAUUCUCCUGGAGCAAAUAAAACUGUCCUGAAAAUUAAUAAAUAUGCCCUGAUGUUCUUUGGACUUGUUGUGAAGUUUCCAAAAUAUUUCUGGUGUUUUCUCAAGUUCUUUGGAGUUCUCUGAACUUUCCUGAACUUCCCAGGUUCUCGAGUAUUAACAGAAGUUAAAGAAACUGUCUUUAAUUUUUCGGAACUUAUCCUUACAGAUCUUUAAAUUUACCCAAGAGUACUCGAAGCAUCGGUAUCUCAGCAAAACUUUUGAAUGAUGUGGAUGCCCACAUAAAAGCAAAUCGUAAAGAAUGCUCGGUGAGUGAGGAGUGUGAGUGCCGAUGCACCACUCAAACCUUCGGGCUGCGUGCUCUUCUUCUCUUCGUCGUUCGCAUCGCGAGCGGUGGAAAACGUUCUUCGUAUGCUUUAGUCUUCAUGACGAUGCGAAUGGUUUUUCGCAUCAACGCGAUGCUCAUGCUUUGAUCCUCACGAAGAAUAUUUGAAUACCUAUGCUCUAAUGAUGUCGCACGAAGCGUAUUGGCGCUGACAACGUCUCUCCGUUGGGAAGUUAUUUUUUCUCUAACGAUGUUUCUCGUUAAUGUUUGUGUAAAUGAAACAAAAAAUAUUCCCUUUUGCACUAGCUCACGUAAACCCACUAUAAAAAUCACGACACUCGUCAUCGCAAGCAAUCACACAAAGCCUCGUUCAUGAACGAUAAUAGCAAUGAUGCUCUUCAUGAAGAGGAUCAAUCCGGGUGUAUUCUUCUACGAGUGGCAUCGCUCGCGAAGAACGAUUGUUGGGAUCGUGUUGCUGGAAAUUUGAGAGUGAGUGACCCAUGCUCAAAGGGUGCAUGUGGUCACUCAGCCAAUGAAGGGAAGGGUGGGAGAAACAAAAUAACACGAAUUGCUUCGUCAAUAUAAGCGAUCGCACACGAAGAAUGAACUGCACACACAUAGCUGCUGUUCUUCUACCGCGAUGGGAAAAUAAUCCGAUGAUCGCUUCAGUGCGAUAAUCAGUAACCUUGGAUAAAAGUCUCUUACAAUAGUUUCAUCUGACAGUUCAGCGGAGCAGACAAUAAUCAUUGUGAUUAUUUAUAAAAAUCGGUAUUCUGAGAAACCUUAUCUGUAUAUCGGUAUAAAGUUUGAAAAUCGGUAUAUCUGGCAACGCUGAUAGACGCACUGCGCUUGAGCAAACGUGGAGUAAUGCAUAGAAAAAAGUAAGUUCACAUACCUUGCUACUGAGGAUGGAAUAUUUGUUAUCAAAUUCUGAUUCUUAAUUUUUCUUGAUAUGUUGUCUUCGGUUGCAUCGAAAUGGGCGAUGUUCGUUUGGUUGCAUAAGACAUACAUGCAACGGCCGGUCUAUAUUCAGUGUUGAAGUGUUUAUAUGAAUGAACCAGUAGGGUUUUUGAUCUUAACUUCCGUCCUACUAAGCAAAAUCCGCACUUAGCCUUUUUUUCCGAACGGAUAUGAACCCAUAAAUGGAGUGAUUCUACUAUGGAUGUCUUCCAAAUGCCUUUCACCUUUAUAUACGUACCGUUGGAUUUGAUGAAGAAUCACAAAUUGUUGAGAUAUUGUUAUAAAUCUAACACUGCUUCUUGAAUCCAAAUUCGUUCUACGAAUGAAAGCAUACAAAAUGAAUUUGCUAAGAGCACUGCUGCAGUGCUCUACAUUUUCGAAGCUCUAAAAUGAACUCGAGUUUUGUUUCUCUCAUACAACGCGUUCAACGCUUCAUUUCUAUAAAGCCUAGCUAGACUAUCAGUAAGAAACUGUGUAUGUGGAUCUUCUCGCCGUUGCUUUGCUCAUCGCUUUCAAUGUUAGUAACGUCGAUUUUCUAGUUAAACGAAUCCUCGUUAUGGCUUCAAUUACCGCUCUUUCAAUUUUUUAAAAUUCGUUAUGUCCUGUUUUCGUUAAUUUUUUUUUAGAUAAAUUUAUGGAUGGAAGAUAAAUUAGAUAUUUUACGUGUAAUCUUCAAGUGUUUUUAAGUGAUAAAUGCUUUAAAUAUAUAUUUUCAUUUUCCGUCAUAUUCGUCAUGAAACCUCUGUUGAUGUGUUUCAUGAAAGACGAAACUAUCAAAGUCGAGCGCUAUUUCGCUCGUUCGUUUAACCGAAGCUUGACAGAAAGACUUUUGGAGCGACGGGAGAAAGAGAGUCAAGCGAUUAAACAUAUUUGUUGCCGGCGCCGGUGGUGUAGUGGUAAGCGUGACUGCUUUCUAACACCCCAAUGGGUCUGGGUUCAAUCCCAGCCGAGGUCGGUGGGAUUUUUCUGAGGCAUAAAAAUCUCUGGUCACGUCUUCCUUCGGAAGGGAAGUAAAGCCGUUGGUCCCGGCCCAUGUGUAUUGUGAAUGGGUGCGAUAUCCUACGCAGGUGUGGAAGCUGCCUUUCUGCACAUUCGAUUGUCGUCAAUGGAUGGCAAUCGAUGUCCGUCGGUGAUUGGCACUAGAUUGCGGAACAGAGACCGACGUUAAAUAAAGGAAAGACUGAGGAUUUAGAAUGCUGCGAAGCUGUUCGACUUGAACAGAAAAAGAAAGCCAGCAGUCUCUUCGUAGCGUCGAUUUGGUCGAUUGAAGCUGAUAUUGUGACGCCCUGGCUAGCAGCGCUGCUUUUGUUUUGAGAACAAUGAGUGUAAAUAUUCAAAAAAAAAUGCGCUCGUAUAGGCUUUGUUUUUUAGUUUAUGAGUUAACGCAUCGGAACAAACGUAUUAUUGAAUUGUGCACGGUGAAAUCAUUGAUAUUACUGAUAUUUUCUGCUCGAUAGAUCGGAAAUGGGCGAUUACUCCUGUUCUCAAAUGUAUGAAAAUCCUUCGUCAAUCCGAUCAAAAGUUCCAACAGAGUUGAGUAUUAUGUUUCCUUCACUUCUGUUGGCUAAUAAAAGCUUUAAAUAAUCAAAAUUCUGAAUCUGACAUCUUAUAAACAUAUCUUAAACGCAAUAAGUCAAUUGAUUUUCAGAAACACAAUCAACAAUAGUUUUCUAAAUCCACAUUGCAUAGAUGCGCAAAGCCUGUUUACACACCCAAAUAAAUCACUACAAAAUCGAAACAUACACGAUCUUAAAUGACGAGUAAACAAUUGAACCCAGACUAAAUACUUUGUAAAUUCACCAACACACACAUACACACACAUAUACAUCAACAAAAACAAGAAAACGGUAUAUUUUUUCGAACCACUGUUGUAGUAGUGCAACCUUUCAACGUACGCGAAAGCCACAAAGAACUUGAUAGUUAUUAUUAACAAAUAGACCUAAAAUGAAACGGAAUAACAGUGCCAUGUUUUAAACAAAUAAAAAAAGAAUACACAGAAUCGUAACAUUUAAAGGAAUAUAUAUUUUUAUGUUUUAACUCCUAGUUUUUUCCCCUUCGUCACCAAUUUUAAACGAACAAAUUUUACACCAAGGCGCGCGUAAAUCGAAAACGUAAUCCAAGUGUUAGGAAGACGGGAACCGAUUUGAGUUAGAUGUGCAAGAAGAAUCGAAGCGAAAUGAGAAGAACUACGUUCGCAAUAGUAUUCGUCGUUACUUCGUUUGUUCUGAGUUGAAAGUUUAUCAUACCUACAUACAAAAUUGAAGGAGAAGCAUACAAAUGUUUAUGAUUAUCGUGUCUCAAUAAGCAAUCAUGUUUGGCUGUAGUGUUCCUUACUUGGUAUAGUCUCAUUAUUUUUAAGGGAUUUUUUUUACGAAAGGAAAAUCAUAGUAUAGAAGUUCCAAAAUUAGUAUUUACAUUUUACAACAACAACAAAACAAAACGUGCGCGGAUGUGUAGAGUGGAGUGGUUUUAGAAUGUAUGUAGUAUGUAGAUGAAUAGUAAUGGAGUUUUUUUUUCUGCUGUAGAUAGGUUUCAUUGUUUGGAUUUUACUUCUCCAAAACAGAACGAAACAAUGUGCGUGUAUAGUAUUCAUUAUAUAAUUGGAAUGGGCAAAUUGGUAGCGCGUAGAGAAGCAACUUCGGUGUCCGAAUGGUUUAUGAGAGUGUCUUGUCGGAAUGUUUCAAAACAAAAAAGUUUUCAUGUUACACACUAAACAGGAAUCACAGAAGAAAAUAUUUGUACAUGUUGGAAGGGAAAAAUCACAAUCAAAGGUCUUUUCCGAGCAAGGAGUAAGUAUUUGAUGUGCUGUGACGAACUAAAAGUCCUAUCUUUCUAUUUAUUUGUUUCGUUGUUUUUUAAGUAUACGUCAUAUGUUUGAAAGUCAAUUACUAAAUUGCAACAUACGCUUGCUUUCGUCUGUACUGUUCUGGACAAUGUGAACUGAAAGAGUAAGAAACACAUUUACCAUCUCAUGUUGACAAAAAAAAAGAAAAUGUGACGAUCAUUAAUUUCCAAGUCGAAAAAUCCCACACAUUAAUUUAAACGUCGUUUAUCGAAUAGUAAGAAGAACAUACGAUGGAAAAGAAUGCUCACCUAUACACCUUUUUAUACGAAAUAAUAACUGAAAAAGUUGACAAGUAAGGAUACAAGUUCUUUGAAUUUUUAAUAACUAUUCGCACUGUUCUCACAAACCUAACCUCAUCACCGUCGUAAUUUUGGUUUUUAUCGUUCAGUAGCCCCUAUGCUUGACGAAGAAUAAACUAGUAGCAUCCAGAUGUCUGUUGUUCUUUAGUGUGUUGAGUAAAAGAUGAGGUCACUGGUUUACUAGGCUGGAAAGUUUUAAAUGUUCCGUUCUUGAAAUCUGAGGUGCACCGCAAGUUAUUCCUAAUAAUAGUUUGGUUGCAGUGCACUAUUUCACCCGAAGAUUUCAAAACCAUGGUCAAUCCUCAGAUUCGACUAUCGGAGAAGGCGAAAUUGUUUCGAUCACAAAAAUCCAUCAGAAUGACGAUCUGAAGAAUAAUUUCAAAAUUUAAUGUUUGCUAUUAGCAAUGACAGGACGAACAGGAAGAAAUUUUCCAGCCGUAAGGGCCAUCCUCUGAUGAAUAUUCGUUUACAGUUUAUAACAUUGCAUUUAUUUUACGUCAAUUACUGUCCAUGAAAAUCAAAACGAAAAUCCAUACAUUUUCCACAAAUGUGAUAUAAUUUUCUUCUCAUAUUUUUUUUCACUUUGUUAGUGAUCUCCAAUCAACCAACUGUCCCCGCAUAAUUGUAUUGAAUUUUUCCCCUCUUCAUAACGAAGAAAUUCAUUCUGUAGAACAGACAUGUACAAAAUUAUAUUUAUAUAAACAAAGGUAGACAAAAUAUUUAAAAUCAGAAAUUAAACAAUUAUAUCCCAGUCGCCAUCUAUAUUUUACACUGCAAACACACGAACCCGUAUAGGAAAGGGAGAAGAUAAAAACCCAAUUGAAUCACACAAAUUACAAUAAAAAAUACCUUUUUCUCAUACGACGAAUAAAACUAUUGAUAAACAAGACAACUAUUUACAUAUUAUUAUGAAUUGCUCUUAUAUAGGAAAACAGAAAACAAACUAAACAACCGGAGGAAAUUGUACAGAAAAGAUAUAUUGAAAAGAUAUUUUUCACACGACAUCUAACCUCUUCGAAGUGCGAGUGAAGCAAAACUGAAAGUCAGUAAUCAAUGAGGAAAGUCAAAUCAUACACAACAUUUACCUAUAUUUACAAGGAAAAUAGGAACUAGAAUGCUACUGCUGAUGCUUGCUUUCGUAGAACAAAAAACAAAUCAAGGUCUGGAUGAAAGUCAGGCAUGAUUUCCAUGAGUUCGAUCGGUUUUUGCGUAGUACCUUGCAUCCUUUAGAUUGCAUACACGCUAGAAAUAUAAUAGCCAAAUUUGGGUAGACUCAAUUAAUCGAAAUUUAAUUGCCCCCAUCUGUACUGCAAUUUGCAUAAGAAAGUACACACAUUUGAAUUAAGUUUACUCAAAUUCGGUCACCCAGACUGAGGUACAAGCAGUUUACCCAUAUUCAGGAUUUGUGCGGUUUGGUCCAUUUCUUGGUAAAAAAUAUACUCAGAUUUGGUUUUACUGAUCUUAUUGUGUACUUUUGAAAGCCGUUUUUCAAAAACCACGUAUUCAACCAAAUAUAAGGUUUUUUGAAAGAAAGAAAAAACACGGUUCUAAAAGAAAUGUUAAUCAACUGAACCUCACACCAAAGGUUUUGCUAUGUUGUAAAAGUCGUAAUUUCCUUUAAAAAACGUUUGAAUUCCCUUUUACGUUGGUGAUGCGUUACGUACGGUUAGUGGAAGUUAGCCAAAAAAAAAGAAUAAACAUCCUGGCGCGUAAUGACAGCUUAAAUCAAAAAAACUCCCUUUGGGAAAUCCUACACAGGUUCUGUACUCUGAUAGCAAUGAUUAUAUACUAAAACAAAAAAUUUGUUAUAUUUCUCAUUCCAUCCAACUUAAAAAAAAAAUGAAAACGAAAGCACGUCAAGAAGCAAACUAACAGUUGAGUUAAUAAAAAAAAAGUAGCAACAUAAUAGACGACAUUCAAAAGAAAAAGUGCAGUAGCAAGCAGCAAAGCGAACACAUUUAAGCGCGUAUGUACGUAGAACAGCAAAGAAACAAAAAAAAACUAUUUUAGCUUGACCAUAGAAGAUGAGAAAGAUAUCUGUAAAAUAAUUAAAAAAGAAUGUUCCCGCCUUAUUUUUUAUGAAAAAAAAAACAACAAGUGAUGAUAUAUUUACUACUUUUACACUUUUUGUCAACGAGUAACAUUUUAUAGUGGUUUAGUGCGUUUUUAUUAGAAGUUUAACUUUUUUCAUAGUACUGGAGUGCCUAUUGCACAAUUUUUAAUGAUUGUUUUUUUUUUUUGCUUUUUACUUUUUAAAUUAUACACACACACAUAUAUAUACAUAGUGAAGCGCCGAGUAGAAAUAUACAAUAAUUUCAAGCAAAUAAAGUUUACAAUUUAUUUACUUUUA